rnacentral:rRNA from 1 species
UACGUAGGGGGCUAGCGUUGUCCGGAUUUAUUGGGCGUAAAGAGCGCGUAGGCGGCCGAGUAAGUCCGACGUGAAAUCUGGAGGCUCAACCUCCAGCGGUCGUUGGAAACUACUCGGCUAGAGUCCGAAAGAGGAGAGUGGAAUUCCUGGUGUAGCGGUGAAAUGCGCAGAUAUCAGGAGGAACACCGGUGGCGAAGGCGGGUCUCUGGGCCGUAACUGACGCUGAGGAGCGAAAGCAUGGGGAGCGAACAGG